rnacentral:rRNA from 1 species
UACGUAGGGUGCAAGCGUUGUCCGGAAUUAUUGGGCGUAAAGAGCUCGUAGGCGGUUUGUCGCGUCUGCUGUGAAAACUCGGGGCUUAACUCCGGGCCUGCAGUGGGUACGGGCAGACUAGAGUUCGGUAGGGGAGUCUGGAAUUCCUGGUGUAGCGGUGAAAUGCGCAGAUAUCAGGAGGAACACCGGUGGCGAAGGCGGGACUCUGGGCCGAUACUGACGCUGAGGAGCGAAAGCGUGGGGAGCGAACAGG